rnacentral:rRNA from 1 species
GAUGAACGCUGGCGGCGUGCCUAAUACAUGCUAGUCGAGCGAACAGACGAGGAGCUUGCUCCUCUGACGUUAGCGGCGGACGGGUGAGUAACACGUGGAUAACCUACCUAUAAGACUGGGAUAACUUCGGGAAACCGGAGCUAAUACCGGAUAAUAUAUUGAACCGCAUGGUUCAAUAGUGAAAGAUGGAUUUGCUGUCACUUAUAGAUGGAUCCGCGCCGCAUUAGCUAGUUGGUAAGGUAACGGCUUACCAAGGCAACGAUGCGUAGCCGACCUGAGAGGGUGAUCGGCCACACUGGAACUGAGACACGGUCCAGACUCCUACGGGAGGCAGCAGUAGGGAAUCUUCCGCAAUGGGCGAAAGCCUGACGGAGCAACGCCGCGUGAGUGAUGAAGGUCUUCGGAUCGUAAAACUCUGUUAUUAGGGAAGAACAAAUGUGUAAGUAACUAUGCACGUCUUGACGGUACCUAAUCAGAAAGCCACGGCUAACUACGUG